rnacentral:rRNA from 1 species
GGCUCAGGACGAACGCUGGCGGUGUGCUUCACACAUGCAAGUCGAACGGGGUAGCAAUACCCAGUGGCGGACGGGUGAGUAACACGUGGGAAUCUGCCUUCAGAUGGGGGAUAGCUGGCCGAAAGGCCAAUUAAUACCCCAUAUGCCGCAAGGUAAAAGGAGUAAUCCGUCUGAAGAUGAGCCCGCGCCCGAUUAGCUAGUUGGUAGGGUAAAGGCCUACCAAGGCUCCGAUCGGUAGCUGGUCUGAGAGGAUGAUCAGCCACAAUGGGACUGAGACACGGCCCAUACUCCUACGGGAGGCAGCAGUGGGGAAUUUUACGCAAUGGGGGAAACCCUGACGUAGCGACACCGCGUGAGCGAUGAAGCCCUUUGGGGUGUAAAGCUCUGUCAACAGGGACGAAAAAAAUGACGGUACCUGUGGAGGAAGCAUCGGCUAACUACGUGCCAGCAGCCGCGGUAAGACGUAGGAUGCGAGCGUUGUCCGGAUUUAUUGGGCGUAAAGAGUUCGUAGGUGGUUUGUUAAGUCUGGUGUUAAAUACUGAAGCUCAACUUCGGAACUGCACUGGAUACUGGCAGACUUGAGUACGGUAGAGGCGAGUGGAAUUCCCAGUGUAGCGGUGAAAUGCGUAGAUAUUGGGAAGAACACCGGUGGCGCAAGCGACUCGCUGGGCCGUUACUGACACUGAGGAACGAAAGCUAGGGGAGCAAAUGGGAUUAGAUACCCCAGUAGUCCUAGCUGUAAACGAUGGAUACUAGGCGUUGUGGGUAUCGACCCCUACAGUGCCGCAGCUAACGCGAUAAGUAUCCCGCCUGAGUAGUACGGCCGCAAGGGUGAAACU